GGGGGAAGACACUGUAUCUCUUAAGCCUGUUUUUGUUAUCCAGAACCAAUAACUGAACAGUUGGAAUACUCUGAUACCUGAAAGCCUGAGAGGAAGAGGAGAAUAAGAAGAGGAGAAAGAAAUCACUGAAACCCAUGGGAAGGCAGCACUCCACGCGAGGCCGUGGUCCGAGGGCUGUGCAACCAUCCCUGGACCCUGGAUCACCGAGACUCUCAUGUUGGCAACUUUUUUUCACGGAGCACAGACGUUUUCUUUUUCAUACAUGGACGUUGGAAGGCCGAGAAAGUGGGUGUGAGGAGCAGGGUGAUACGCAGAGUUGCGGUUGGGUUAGGGGACACACAAGUCUCGGGAUGGCCACGUGUGUGUUCCUGGCUCUCUGGACAGCGGACUUGGGCUGCUGGCCAGGGAAACCCUCAAGUGAGACAACGCGAUUCCAGACCUCAGUAAAGCCCCGCGGAUGGAGCUAUGAGGCUGGGAAGAUCCAUGCCUUCUGCCACCGCCUGAUUCCUCCUCCUGGAGUCGGAGAUGGACACCGCACAGAGGCUCUCACGAAUAUGGACAGCAUCUGUUUUAAGAGACAGGGAAACACUUUACACUGGUAUGGAUCACUUCUGCGCCGGUGUAGGUCAGAUUCAAGGACAGAAACCAAGGCAGGGAGGCGAAAGCCCCUGGGGUGGGGAGGCCCCGUGGGGGAACUGGACACAAGAAAGAAUUAG
rnacentral:lncRNA from 1 species